rnacentral:lncRNA from 1 species
CUCCGCCUGCAGGGAGCCCAGCUCAUAGGAAUUGAAGGAGAUGCGCAGGAACGGUGCCAUGAUGGAGCCUGGAAUGAGAUUGUGCAUGGGAAGGGGUGGAGCUGAGGCAGGGGAGCAGCGACAGCACAGAGGCGGCUGGCAGGGAUGCUCAGCACCCGCUCCCCAGAGAGCUUCACCACACAGAGAGCCACUCACCCCAAACGUCCUCGUCCCUACUGCCAGUGGGAACAGCUGGGCUUGCAGCACCUCUGGUAAGACUAAAGGAGGGGACACCAGGCCUGAGCACCAGCGGCUACAGUGGCUCCUUUUCUGUCAGUCUACCAGGCCUGGACCCUGCCCCAUCCCUGAGCUGGGCCCUGGAGGCAUCUGAGCCUGAGCUCCUCAGACAAUCAUCUCUCAUGGCCAAUUACUGAACAUCUAUACACGCCAGGGCCUUGUGUGUGUUGGGCUCUGCACUCGGUGCCAACAGCUGCCCUCUUGUCUCGCUAGGCCCACGAAGCACCUCUUGAUUCUUUGUUGAUUUUGCUUAUAAACACCCAGGCAGAGAGGCACAGCCAAACUGUUUCAUCAACUAAAGGUCCCCAUCCUGUAGAUGGGGAAACUUAGACUCAGACUGAACCAGAACUGAAAGCUAGAGUCAUACACCUCUGCCCUGACUUGUCAGCACACCCUACCCUUCUGAACAAGAGCCCCUCGGGUCACAGGCCUCCUGCCUGUCUAGAUUGCCUGCCGUUUCACACUGAGAAUAGAAGCAGUAGCCAUGCAAGGAGAGAGGGCUGGGAGGACAUGGUACAGGAAUGUGAAGAGAGGAUACAGUUUCAUAUUCUU